CCUAAGUGUUAGUGGAUAUUUAGCAAAUGGGUCGGUUGAUAGAGCAUUGGAUAGAAGGAUGGCUACCCGAGCGGCAGACAGAAUGCCAAAUCCACAGAUUGUUGGGACAGUGAAGGAGAAGAACAGUCCGUCGCUUCUUAGGGCUUGUUGGUGUGAAAGCACAGGAUACCCUUUACCCACAGCCUCAAGGUCAUGUUAUUACCCCACCUGGGUCCAUCAACCAACCUGCUUUAAUGUGACUCUGAAAAUAAGAACUUGUGAAAUCAGCCAGACAAGCAUUAUCCUCCCCAGUUUAGAGAGGAGAGCACCCAGUGCUAAUAAAAGUGGAACAGUGGGCCCAAGCAGUGACAGGGGAAGAGCUAGAAACCUCUGAUUAGAAGCCAGUCCCAAGUCCAGUAUUCUUGUUUUCCAGCUAUAAAAUGGAGGUGUGGGCGUAGUGAACUUGAUGAGCUCCAAGAACCCUAAUCCUGUUCCACUUCUUACAUGUACUUAUCCCUGUUGACAGCAUGAACAGAGAGAGGCUAAAACCACAGCUGAAUCCAGGAAGGCAAACCUUUGCCCACAAUUUGUCAGUAAGUGACAAAUAGUGUCUCAUUGUCUAUACAUCUCAAAGGACAA